UACGGGGGGGGCAAGCGUUGUUCGGAAUUACUGGGCGUAAAGGGCUCGUAGGUGGCCAACUAAGUCAGACGUGAAAUCCCUCGGCUUAACCGGGGAACUGCGUCUGAUACUGGAUGGCUUGAGAUUGGGAGAGGGACGCGGAAUUCCAGGUGUAGCGGUGAAAUGCGUAGAUAUCUGGAGGAACACCGGUGGCGAAGGCGGCAUCCUGGACCGACAUUGACGCUGAGGCGCGAAAGCCAGGGGAGCAAACGGG
rnacentral:rRNA from 1 species